rnacentral:rRNA from 1 species
CCUACGGGCGGCAGCAGUGAGGAAUAUUGGUCAAUGGUCGGGAGACUGAACCAGCCAAGCCGCGUGAGGGAUGAAGGUACAGAGUAUCGUAAACCUCUUUUGUCAGGGAACAAAGGCGGGGACGUGUCCCCGGAUGAGUGUACCUGAAGAAAAAGCAUCGGCUAACUCCGUGCCAGCAGCCGCGGUAAUGCGGAGGAUGCGACCGUUAUCGGGAUUUAUGGGGUUUAAAGGGUGCGCGGGCGGUCUGUUAAGUCAGCGGUCAAAGCCCGGGGCUCAACCCCGGACCGCCGUUGAAACUGGCAGUCUCGAGUUGGAGAGAAGUAUGCGGAAUGCGCGGUGUAGCGGUGAAAUGCAUAGAUAUCGCGCAGAACUCCGAUUGCGAAGGCAGCAUGCCGGCUCCACACUGACGCUGAGGCACGAAAGCGUGGGUAUCGAACAGGAUUAGAUACCCGAGUAGUC